GAGGAAAGUCCGGGCUCCAUCAAAAAGGUGCCGGGUAACGCCCGGCGGGGGCAACCCCAGGGACAGUGCCACAGAGAGCAGACCGCCGAACCGGGUGCGUGCAAACAAUCCUGUCGGUAAGGGUGAAAGGGUGCGGUAAGAGCGCACCGCAGGGCUGGUAACAGUCUUGGCGAGGUAAACCCCACCUGGAGCAAGGCCAAAUAGGGAUCGGCUGCGUGCAAGCGCGGUACGAUCCGGGUAGGCUGCACGAGACCCAUGGCAACAUGGGUCCUAGAUGAAUGGUUACCGCCGACAAGUGGUGGGAUCGCUUGUUGGAACAAAACCCGGCUUA
rnacentral:RNase_P_RNA from 1 species